AACAUAUCCAUGAAACACAUGAUUCAAAUCCAAGAAAAAAAAAGACAAGUUGACAAGCCUAAAACCCGAAGUAGAAAACUGGAGAUGGAAACACAUUACACAUUCAUGAAAACUAGAAGUAGAUAAUCUCACUCUCCUUGACCAACCCGCAUGAACCUAUACAAGUAAACAAAUAUCAGAAAUCAGAAUGCAAUCUCACUCUUACAUAAUCUAUGUAUCUCACUUAGUUCGGGUAUGACUAACCUUUGUAGACCUACUCAAAUUCACCGACUCAAAUUCAACUUUGCCACUUAAAUUAAAAGAAAAAAAAAAAAAAGAAGAAAGAUCAUGAACAUAAAGAAAAAAUACCAUCACAUCUUCACGGUCUCUGUUUUAUCAUCAACACAAGUAAGAGAAAUUCAUCAUGUACCAUAAGAGAUACUUGCUUGAACUUGACAGGAGAUCUCUUGUACAAAACAAAGCAAAGAAAUUCAACAAAGAAGUGGUUUUCUCAACUGUAACCUAGAGACAGAGCUACCAAGUUUCAUGUUUCAAUGAAACGGAUCAUAAGUUCAUAACUCUAAUAUACUCUCAUCGCAAUAUCAAAGAUCCACCAGUUACUCAAUCAAAUCGACAUAUCAUACAUAAUAUCAGACUAUCAGAGGGUCAAAAUGAUAUAGAUAAUGUCGAGAAAAGGAAAAAAUAAGUACCAAAACAGAGAGAUCAUCGAAAUCGAUUCGAUUUCAUUCCGUAAAAGCUAAAAACCCUAAAGGCCUAAACCAAAACUUAUCAUCGAUUUCAAUCAAUUAUAAACCUAAAACUCGAGAGACGGAGAGAGAUCAUGGACUUGUGAAAUUGGAAUGUACCUUUGAGCGGUUUCUCGACAAGGCCGACGAUGGAGAAGUGACUAGAGACGGUGUCGACCAUGUGGGGGUCUUCGUUUGAGUUUCCAGGUUUGAAUCGGAAAUGGAAAUUGUGGUAAAUGAUGAUUGAUAAAGGAGAGAGUAGAGAUCUAGGGUUCUAGAAUCGAGCAAAGGGAAGAAG
rnacentral:lncRNA from 1 species